UACGUAGGGGGCAAGCGUUGUCCGGAAUUAUUGGGCGUAAAGAGCGCGUAGGCGGUCCGAUAAGUCGGCUGUGAAAGUCCAGGGCUCAACCCUGGAAAGCCGGCCGAUACUGUCGGACUAGAGUCCGGAAGAGGCGAGUGGAAUUCCCGGUGUAGCGGUGAAAUGCGCAGAUAUCAGGAAGAACACCAGUGGCGAAGGCGGCUCACUGGCCCGGUACUGACGCUGAGGUGCGAAAGCAUGGGGAGCGAACAGG
rnacentral:rRNA from 1 species